CCUAAUAAGUUAAUUAAUUCACCCCCAAGUUAUGUUUUCUCUUUGCAGUCCCAUAUCGCACUCCAAACAUCAACCGCAGUAGGGACCCUAACCAGAACGUCGCCAUGACCCUUUCCUGCACCGCUACUGGCGGUUAUCCAGAAGGGAAAAUCCUUUGGUUUGACAAAUAUGGAACGGAUUGGUCCCCCAGCUCCCAACAGAAAGCUAUCGAGACCAGAGAUGGACGUUUCAACCUCGUCAGCAAGCUGGACCUGCUUUCAGGCUCUUCAUUCUCCACGUACACAUGUGCGGUCCACAAUAUCAGAGGAGAACGGGAAGGAGAGACCCAGUAUAACGUUUCGGAUCUAGACCCUCAGUCAGGCCGGCAUGAAGGAAAAACACAAAAGUCAGAUUUGGCAUCCAAAAUCGUCAUCCCUGUGGUCAUCAUUGGAUCAGUGAUCAUUGGGCUGCUGAUUGUCCGUCUUCUAAAACCACACUGUCAAAGUUCCCAUCAAGCACUCCCAACAAACAACGAAUGUGGUUAUGAAGAUGAACUUCAAACCAAAACCAUGCCUGAGGGAGAAUACAGCAGCUGUGUAACACCCCAACCCUCAAAUGUAUGUAGUGUAUAGUUAAAAUCUAUACAGCAAAAGGUUAUUUUCAAAUGCAGGAGAGGAAUUAUGAAUCAAGGGGUAUUUGUGCGUUGGGAAAUAGAACGGUCGGCUGCCUGUAGGCAGAACGUCAGGACUCUGGUAAUUUGUCUGGUUGAGGUCAGUUAUGUAUUUUUCGAACUCAGGGGUUCAAAACCCCUUAUAAGACAACAGGAGAGCUAUGAUGACAGCAGCCGGUUCGAUUCCAUUCAGUCUUGAUGCUGAGGCAUGUCCUUAGAACGCCAGGCUACUGCAGUUCGAAUUUUCAUGAGUUGAAUUUUCUGGUCCGUAUUUUGACCACAAAUAUUUAGCUUUCCAUUUUUAUAUUUUGAAAUAUCUUGGUUAGCUCUAAAAAAGGACGACGGACCGACCGGAAAUAGAGUCCACCAUAACUGAGGUCAAAAUAAUAUAAAGAUAAAUGAUAAGGCUCGGCAUAAAUCACUUCACCAGACUUAAAACCAGGAACUGAACUGAAAACGUGACUUUCCACAACAGAGGCAUAAAGGACACUGCAUACUUAAUGGGUUAAACCAGCGGUUCCCAAACUGGGGGUCGCGACCCCCCGGGGGGUCGCGGAGCACCGUCAGGGGGGUCGCGGAGAGAUGGGCCAGUUUGCAUAUUAAAAAAAAUAAAUAAUAAUAAUAAUAAUAUAUAUACCGUAUAUAUAUAUAUAUAUAUAUAUAUAUAUAUAUAUAUAUAUAUAUAUAUA